rfam:Larimichthys crocea isolate SSNF unplaced genomic scaffold scaffold1154, whole genome shotgun sequence.
GCUUACUGCCAUACCACCCUGAAUGUGCUCGAUCUCAUCUGAUCUCGGAAGCUAAACAAGGUCAGUCCUUGUUAUUACUUGGAUGGGUGACCGCCUGGGAAUACCAGGUGCUGUAAGCU